UAGCGUAGGGGCUAGCGUUGUCCGGAAUCAUUGGGCGUAAAGAGCGCGUAGGCGGCCAGAUAAGUCCGGUGUGAAAGUCACAGGCUCAACCUGUGAAUGCCGCUGGAAACUGUCUGGCUAGAGUCCGGAAGGGGCGAGUGGAAUUCCUGGUGUAGCGGUGAAAUGCGCAGAUAUCAGGAGGAACACCAAUGGCGAAGGCAGCUCGCUGGGACGGUACUGACGCUGAGGCGCGAAAGCGUGGGGAGCGAACAGG
rnacentral:rRNA from 1 species